AGGACGAACGCUGGCGGCGUGCUUAACACAUGCAAGUCGAGCGGAAAGGCCCUUCGGGGGUACUCGAGUGGCGAACGGGUGAGUAACACGUGGGUGAUCUGCCCUGCACUUCGGGAUAAGCUUGGGAAACUGGGUCUAAUACCGGAUAGGACUACGGACUUCAUGGUUUGUGGUGGAAAGCUUUUGCGGUGUGGGAUGGGCCCGCGGCCUAUCAGCUUGUUGGUGGGGUGAUGGCCUACCAAGGCGACGACGGGUAGCCGGCCUGAGAGGGUGUCCGGCCACACUGGGACUGAGACACGGCCCAGACUCCUACGGGAGGCAGCAGUGGGGAAUAUUGCGCAAUGGGCGAAAGCCUGACGCAGCGACGCCGCGUGGGGGAUGAAGGCCUUCGGGUUGUAAACCCUUUCAGCGAGGACGAAGCGAAAGUGACGGUACCUGCAGAAGAAGCGCCGGCUAACUACGCGCCAGCAGCCGC
rnacentral:rRNA from 1 species